rnacentral:rRNA from 1 species
AGAGUUUGAUCAUGGCUCAGGACGAACGCUGGCGGCGCGCCUAACACAUGCAAGUCGAACGAGCGAGAGAGAGCUUGCUUUCUCGAGCGAGUGGCGAACGGGUGAGUAACGCGUGAGGAACCUGCCUCAAAGAGGGGGACAACAGUUGGAAACGACUGCUAAUACCGCAUAAGCCCACGGCUCGGCAUCGAGCAGAGGGAAAAGGAGCAAUCCGCUUUGAGAUGGCCUCGCGUCCGAUUAGCUAGUUGGUGAGGUAACGGCCACAAGGCAACGAUCGGUAGCCGGACUGAGAGGAAGGUCCCCCANAUUGGAACUGAGACACGGUCCAAACUCCGUACGGGAGGCA